rnacentral:rRNA from 1 species
CAUCGGUCCAAUCCUUAAAGUCAUCCCCAGUUCGGACUGGGGUCUGCAACCCGACCCCACGAAGCUGGAUUCGCUAGUAAUCGCGCAUCAGCCAUGGCGCGGUGAAUACGUUCCCGGGUCUUGUACACACCGCCCGUCACACCAUGGGAGUCGGAAAUGCCCGAAGUCUGUGACCCAACCGGAAGGAAGGAGCAGCCGAAGGCAGGUCUGAUGACUGGGGUGAAGUCGUAACAAGGUAGC